rnacentral:rRNA from 1 species
GUGGGGAAUAUUGGACAAUGGGCGCAAGCCUGAUCCAGCCAUGCCGCGUGUGUGAAGAAGGCCUUUUGGUUGUAAAGCACUUUAAGCGAGGAGGAGGCUACUUGGAUUAAUACUCUAGGAUAGUGGACGUUACUCGCAGAAUAAGCACCGGCUAACUCUGUGCCAGCAGCCGCGGUAAUACAGAGGGUGCGAGCGUUAAUCGGAUUUACUGGGCGUAAAGCGUGCGUAGGCGGCUUCUUAAGUCGGAUGUGAAAUCCCUGAGCUUAACUUAGGAAUUGCAUUCGAUACUGGGAAGCUAGAGUAUGGGAGAGGAUGGUAGAAUUCCAGGUGUAGCGGUGAAAUGCGUAGAGAUCUGGAGGAAUACCGAUGGCGAAGGCAGCCAUCUGGCCUAAUACUGACGCUGAGGUACGAAAGCAUGGGGAGCAAACAGGAUUAGAUACCCUGGUAGUCC